GCGGAAGGAUCAUUAAUGAAUUCACUAUGGAGUUGUUGCUGGCCUCUAGGGGCAUGUGCACGCUUCACUAGUCUUUCAACCACCUGUGAACUUUUGAUAGAUCUGUGAAGUCGUCCUUCAAGUCGUCAGACUUGGUUUGCUGGGAUUUAAACGUCUCGGUGUGACAACGCAAUCUAUUUACUUAACACACCCCAAAUGUAUGUCUACGAAUGUCAUUUAAUGGGCCUUGUGCCUAUAAACCAUAAUACAACUUUCAACAACGGAUCUCUUGGCUCUCGCAUCCAUGAAGAACGCAGCGAAAUGCGAUAACUAAUGGGAAUUGCAGAAUUCAGUGAAACAUCCAAUCUUUGAAGGGCCCUUGCGCCCCUUGGUAUUCCCAGGGGGAUGCCUGUUUGUGUGAGAUUAAAUUCUCAAACUCACAUUUAUUUGUGAUGUUUGGAUUGUUGGGGGUUGCUGGCUGUAACAAGUCGGCUCCUCUUAAAUGCAUUAGCAGGACUUCUCAUUGCCUAACUGCGCAUGAUGUGAUAAUUAUCACUCAUCAAUAGCACGCAUGAAUAGAGUCCAGCUCUCUAAUCGUCCGCAAGGACAAUUUGACAUAAUUUGACCUCAAAUCAGGUAGGACUACCCGCUGAACUUAAGCAUAU
rnacentral:rRNA from 1 species